rnacentral:tRNA from 1 species
UGUUGAGAAGCUUUGGAAGAAGCAAUAAAUUUUUGAUUUAUUGAAGGAUGUUUAUUGAGAAUCCCUCAACAG